AGCCCCGUAGUGUAGCGGUCAAUCAUGCCGGCCUUUGGAGCCGGCGACGGCAGUUCAAAUCUGCCCGGGGCUA
rnacentral:tRNA from 1 species